AUUGAACGCUGGCGGCAGGCCUAACACAUGCAAGUCGAGCGGAUGAAGGGAGCUUGCUCCUGGAUUCAGCGGCGGACGGGUGAGUAAUGCCUAGGAAUCUGCCUGGUAGUGGGGGCUAACGUCCGGAAACGGGCGCUAAUACCGCAUACGUCCUGAGGGAGAAAGUGGGGGAUCUUCGGACCUCACGCUAUCAGAUGAGCCUAGGUCGGAUUAGCUAGUUGGUGGGGUAAAGGCCUACCAAGGCGACGAUCCGUAACUGAUCUGAGAGGAUGAUCAGUCACACUGGAACUGAGACACGGUCCAGACUCCUACGGGAGGCAGCAGUGGGGAAUAUUGGACAAUGGGCGAAAGCCUGAUGCAGCCAUGCCGCGUGUGUGAAGAAGGUCUUCGGAUUGUAAAGCACUUUAAGUUGGGAGGAAGGGCAGUAAGUUAAUACCUUGCUGUUUUGACGUUACCAACAGAAUAAGCACCGGCUAACUUCGUG
rnacentral:rRNA from 1 species